rnacentral:lncRNA from 1 species
CUUUUGCGUCAGUGAGAAUCAAAUGAUUCAACAGUGAAAAGCAAACUCUUGGACUGGAAUAGCAAGAUGACCCAUCUCUAAACAAAGCAAACUGACUAGGAUUCUCUCAUGCUUAACAUGCAUCUUACUGGUUCUUUAUGAAGAGCUUUCUCUUGUUCUGGAGACCAGAAGGCCAAAAUCAAAAGUAUGGGCAGGCUUGAUUUCUUUAGAAGACUCCAGCGGAGAACUGUGUCUCCUUGCUUCUGGGCACCGAGGAAGAGAACCAAUGGCAGAGGCCACAUGUGCAAGCAAGAUGGGAGUCUGGAGAGCCUCAGGCUAAAUCACGAGUGCUCAGCCCUCUCCUCUUUGUAAGGGCAACCGGGUCAUAUCUGCCAGCAUAGAACUGCUCUGUCCACAGCCCUAAAAUCUAAUACCUAGAACAAUAAAUGCACUUAAGCACGUCAAACUCUCUCAACCAGUGAUGAAAUCUGUCACUAGCGAAGGGACUUGUCCCAAGGGAGCUGAACACCUGC